CGGAGGAGCGGCGCGAGAGAGCGCGAGAUAGCGGCGGCCGGACAACCGACACACAAAGAGAGCGGUCAGGAAUCCGGCCGAGGUUUCGGUACGUAACUGGAAUGCGGGGAGGGACGCGGGACGAGAAAAAGAAAGAGGAGGAAGCAUCGAAGGAAUCGGCCAAGAGAUUGUUUCGUGCACCUUCUUUCCCUUUGCUCCGGUCGGUUAACACUUUGCCUACCGGAAGCUUAUUAAAUAGGCUUUUUAUCGGGCAGCUCUUAGCGACCGCGCUAGGCCUACUAAACGGUUUUUUCCUGCUGGCCGGCCGGCCACGCAGUGGGACAUCUGACCCGAAACUGCGGUCACCGCUACUUUAAAAGUAGCCCGAUCUUCGAACACCCGUCACUUUUUCAACGUUCGUCCAAACUCGACGAACCGCAUACCGUUUUAAUGCUUGAGAAUUUAUACUUUUCGACGAUGUAUGGGGUUAUAAAAUAAAAACGAAGGAAUGACAUUAGACGAAGAGAAGACAAUCGCAGGCGAAGAACUUUCAGACGCAUAAUUCUUGUUAAAAAAUGCAUCGAUGAUUAAUGCUCCACUGUUUCAAAUCAAGCAAAGUCCAUUUCCAGGCCUAUGACUGCGACGAAUAAAUCGAUAAAUAAAUUUCCAGGCGACGAAUAAAUGCACUUUGCAUAAAACAAAGAACAGCAACGUGAACAUUGAUAAUGUAAACAGUUCCCUCAAAUAAUUCAUUAGCAUGGAUUUACUUCACCAAGAUACGACGAAUGCGAGCAUGCAAGCAUGCGAGAAACUCCGCGAUUCUCGAUGGUCGACUUUAUCGUAAAUCGACUAUGAAACACACGGGCUGUUUUCUUCGCGGAAACCGCGACAUUUCUAGUGAAUCAAAGAACGUUGCCAGAUAGCGCGCGCGCGCGCACGAUUUCGGAGGAAAUUUUUCGCAGAGGCGCGCGGCCACGGAAAGGGUUUCGAGGGGUGGAAAGGGGAGGGGGGCUACGGACGAGGCUCUCUCUACCUGCGGUCGAAGCAAGGUGCAUUCCUCCGCAGCGGCGGUUCUCCUGCGGGCCGACGAACGCACAAACCCACGCACGCGAGAGGCAAUAUCAAAGGGGCCGAUGUUUCACGAGCGUACACCGACGUGAGAAUGGUCGCGUGCAUCUUGCCCCUACGUAUGUACUACCUACGAGUGUCGUCGCGCGUAUCUUGCGCUGGCAUCUCCCUGCUCGCGAUCCCCUUUUCACCCUCUUCGUCGUCCCCCCGCCCCCCUUUUUCCCUCCGCUCGGCGAUCACGUUCCUUCCAGAUUACGCGUAGCCACCGUCGAAUUUUAUCAUAACCUACCAUCGAUCUAGCAGCUUGCGCGAUAAAUUCCCUCGCGUGUCUUCAAACAAAAAUCGACUCCGCUCGACAUAACCUUCUCACGCUCCCCAGAAGUAGAAAUGUUCGCAUCUUUUUAAUUUUCUUUUUUUUUCUUACGCUUUCUUUUCGAAAACCGUGACUUCCGCUCGGCUUCGUUUUCAAUACAUUUUGUACAGUGACUGUCACCUAACCUUUAAAGGACCAUGAGGUUGCUAGGCGUGAAUAUUAGUAUGUAACUGUUCGUUUUAGUUUGUUUCGACGUAAAAUAAACAAAAAUCGUACGAAGAAUA